GUAGAACGCUAGCGGCAGGCUUAACACAUGCAAGUCGAGGGGUAUGUUUCUUCGGAGACAGAGACCGGCGCACGGGUGCGUAACGCGUAUGCAAUCUACCUUUCACAGAGGGAUAGCCCAGAGAAAUUUGGAUUAAUACCUCAUAGUAUAGCUGAGCCGCAUGGUUCUGCUAUUAAAGUCACAACGGUGAAAGAUGAGCAUGCGUCCCAUUAGCUAGUUGGUAAGGUAACGGCUUACCAAGGCUACGAUGGGUAGGGGUCCUGAGAGGGAGAUCCCCCACACUGGUACUGAGACACGGACCAGACUCCUACGGGAGGCAGCAGUGAGGAAUAUUGGACAAUGGGCGCAAGCCUGAUCCAGCCAUGCCGCGUGCAGGAUGACGGUCCUAUGGAUUGUAAACUGCUUUUAUACGAGAAGAAACAACAUUACGUGUAAUGUCUUGACGGUAUCGUAAGAAUAAGGAUCGGCUAACUCCGUGCCAGCAGCCGCGGUAAUACGGAGGAUCCAAGCGUUAUCCGGAAUCAUUGGGUUUAAAGGGUCCGUAGGCGGUUUGGUAAGUCAGUGGUGAAAGCCCAUCGCUCAACGGUGGAACGGCCAUUGAUACUGC
rnacentral:rRNA from 1 species